GCGGCUUGAAUUAUGAUGAUCCAUUGUAGCA
rnacentral:sRNA from 1 species